GUGGUCGCAGUGGGUGCGCAGAUCGCUGGAAGGUACUGAGUCACCGCCACAAAGAGCACAUGCAAUGAGACUAUGAAAGCAGAGAGCACAACAACGAUAUAAUAAUUUUAUAUUUGUCUUUAUCUUUCUGUCCGUAAAGACUAGAUUUGCAACCGGACAAGGAUUCAUCUUCAUUUUCAAGAUGUUCCUAAUGUCCGUCCUUUUAAUUUUGACUAAAUCUAUAUGUAAUUUGAUAUUGAAAUUUGAAUUUUAAAUAUGCACAACCUUAUCAAGCAUUCAAACCAUCUCUCAAAUAAUCAAAUUUCAAUUUUCUUCUUACCAUAACUCUCUUUCUUUCUCUAUCUUCUCUCAUGUCUUUCUUCUCCUAGAUCUAUAUAUCUCUCUGCAUCAUUUCUUUUCUUUUAUUUUUGUUAUCUCUGUGUUCUCUUUGUCAAACAGAGAUUUCUUGAUGGUGACAUGCAUUAUGGUAUUGUGUUUGUUGCGGGGAAGCAGAGGGAAGAAGUAGAGACACGACAGGGAGGAGCGAGAGAUGCAUACUGGCAUCGACAAUAAUGGGCAUGCAGUUUGGUGAGGCUGAGAUGAUUCGGAUGGCAAUAGACAGAACGGAAGAGAAGUCAUAGUUGCAGCACCAGAAGCGUCCAUCAACGGUCUUGGUGCGAUGAUGCUGUAUUCUCUGCUUAUAGGCGUCUUUGCCUGGUGUGGAGCUUUUGAUGCAGUAAAUCCAUAACCUCAUUGUUGUUGCCGGGAUUCUAUUUGCAAUUCGCCAAAAGAGUAUAUAUUCAUUUUCAUCAUCCUCAUAGAUCAUAUUUUUCAAUUUUUUUCUUUUCAUCACUCCAUUAAUGGAGCAGAGUACGUGAAGGCAAAAUCAAAUUGGCUACUGAAAAUUCGUGGGCAACCCCGGCAAGAAGGUUUAGCUUUCGGAGUCCAAGAUCCAACAGCUCUGCUUGAUUUCCAGAGACAUUUUCUUGCAACAGCCAGAUUUAUGGGAUCUCCAAUCUUUCAUUUAGAUUUGUGGUACUCUAACUUCUUGCAAUCCCUGACACUACAGCUUUCUUUCUUCAUAACAAGUGAAUAUGUACACUUUUGUGCACCCCUUACUCUACUGCUUUCUUUCUUGCAAUCCCUUUUGUUUCGGUCUUCUUCCUUUCUUUUUGAAGUCAGCAUUUGAUUGAUUUGUUAUUACGUUUAUUUUUUAUUUUAAUUUUUUUUAAUAGUGGUUUUAUAUUCUUUUAAUUUAAGAGUGACAUUACUAUUAUAUUUUUAAAUAUGUUUUUUAACCAUAUUUUAAAAUCUUGAUUUUCAUUUCAUAUCACCUCUCUAUAAUCUUAUUUUUCCAAUACAUUAUUGACUAAGAUUUGGUAACUUCUACUGUUUAUGAUACACGGUUCGGUAUCUCCUUUUUGAGUUUUGAUAAUGAAAUUUGGUAAAUAUUUUGAUUUUAACUGUUUAUGUGAUCUUUUCAUAUCUUUAUCAUUAUCAUAACCUCAGAAAAAAGAAAAUAAUAUCACCACAGAAGCAAGGAGGUGAAGAAACCAUGAUGGCAGUCCUGAAUGUAAUAAUUGAAAGAGAAGGGAGGAAUUGGAGAAAGAAAGUGGUGGUUCAGGUUCACAUUCUUCCUUGCAAAGCCUUCUCUGGCAUGGUGGUUCUGCUGAUGGUGCUUGGUUCAGUUGUGCCUCAAAUAAGGUAGGAUAGGUUCCAUUAACACUGCCAUACCCAUUCUCACAUUAGUUUAUUUUUUAUUUUGUAGUUAUUAG